UGGGGAAUAUUCCGCAAUGGGCGAAAGCCUGACGGAGCGACGCCGCGUGGAUGAUGAAGGUCUUCGGAUUGUAAAGUCCUGUAGAGGGGGAAGAAGGGUGCAGCAAUGCAUUUGACAGUACUCCUAAAGUAAGCUACGGCAAACUCUGUGCCAGCAGCCGCGGUUAUACAGAGGUAGCAAGCGUUGUUCGGAAUGACUGGGUGUAAAGGGUGUGUAGGUGGUUUAGUAAGUUGAAUGUGAAAUCCAUUGGCUCAACCAAUGAACUGCAUUCAAAACUGCUUUACUUGAGUACGGGAGAGGGAAGUGGAAUUUCUGGUGUAGCGGUAAAAUGCGUAGAUAUCAGAAGGAACACCGGUGGCGAAGGCGACUUCCUGGUCCGUAACUGACACUGAAACACGAAAGCUAGGGGAGCAAACAGG
rnacentral:rRNA from 1 species